UGUUUUGUAGCCCCUGGCUUCUUUCUAUAUGAUUUAUGUGGGGGGAAAACAUGUGUCUCUGUCGCUCAAGUCAUACUCUUAAAGUUUCUUUCAAGCUGCUACAAUUAUAACUUGUGACAGGAAGUAGAGAAGGGUGAGUCCAAGUGGCAGAAACUUGUAUUAACGUGUGAGAUGUAUGAUGCUCUCUAGGCAGGCGAUCUCUACCUGUCGGUGUUUGUAAUAAUAUGAAGCUUUUGUGACUAAGUAUAUAUGGUAUCGUUUUCGCUUUUAUUUCACUGCUCACUGACUUUUUAUACUAAGAUGCUUUGUUCUGCUCACCUCACUGUUUGGCUUCAUUACUGUCUGUGUACUUGUGCUUUAAAUAAAACUCUAGCUUUGUGUCCCUGUGGUCGAUUCCAUCGUCUAUACAAUGUUUGCCUCUUAGGUAGUGAGAUUUUCUUUUGGUUUUUAUAUUUGUUGGAACAGCCUAAAAUUUAUGGAAAUAAGCAGUCCAAUAAAUUCAGUCAGUGCAUGUUGACGGCAUCUCCAGUGAGGGCCUGUUCGCUCACACUGUCUUUUUGGUAUUUGGGCAUGACAACCAGUUUUCAAUUAAUAAAUUAUUUUCUGCAAA
rnacentral:lncRNA from 1 species